AUUGCUUCUCGGCCUUUUGGCUAAGAUCAAGUGUAGAAGAGCCCAGGCUUAUUUUUCCAAGAUUAUUAUUAUUUUAUCUAGCAUUUUAGGUAUUCUUUGCCAGGAGACAUUUCUCUGAAUAUUUACUCUGCCACAUUGCUUAACAUGCAAAUUGUGUUUAUUUGCC
rnacentral:snRNA from 1 species